AGUGAACGCUGGCGGCAGGCCUAACACAUGCAAGUCGAGCGGCAGCGCGGUGGUAGCAAUACCAUUGGCGGCGAGCGGCGGACGGGUGAGGAACACAUCGGAAUCUACCCUGUCGUGGGGGACAACGUAGGGAAACUUACGCUAAUACCGCAUACGACCUUUGGGUGAAAGUGGGGGACUCGCAAGAGCCUCACGCGAUUGGAUGAGCCGAUGUCCGAUUAGCUAGUUGGCGGGGUAAUGGCCCACCAAGGCGACGAUCGGUAGCUGGUC
rnacentral:rRNA from 1 species